CGAACGCUGGCGGCAGGCCUAACACAUGCAAGUCGAGCGCCCGUAGCAAUACGGGAGCGGCAGACGGGAGAGUAACACGUGGGAACGCGCCCUUCGGUUCGGAAUAACUCAGGGAAACUUGAGCUAAUACCGGAUACGCCCUUACGGGGAAAGAUUUAUUGCCGAAGGAACGGCCCGCGUCCGAUUAGCUUGUUGGUGAGGUAAUGGCUACCAAGGCGAUGAUCGGUAGCUGGUCUGAGAGGAUGAUCAGCCACACUGGGUCUGAGACACGGCCCAGACUCCUACGGGAGGCAGCAGUGGGGAAUUUUGGACAAUGGGGGCAACCCUGAUCCAGCCAUUCCGCGUGAGUGAAGAAGGCCUUCAGGUUGUAAAGCUCUUUUGUCCGGAACGAAACGAGUUGCGUGAAUAGCGCCGCCUACUGACGGUACCGGAAGAAUAAGCACCGGCUAACUACGUGCCAGCAGCCGCGGUAAUACGUAGGGUGCGAGCGUUAAUCGGAAUUACUGGGCGUAAAGCGUGCGCAGGCGGUUUUGUAAGCCAGAUGUGAAAGCCCCGGGCUUAACCUGGGAAUGGCAUUUGGGACUGCAAGGCUUGAGUGCGGCAGAGGAGACUGGAAUUCCUGGUGUAGCAGUGAAAUGCGUAGAUAUCAGGAGGAACACCGAUGGCGAAGGCAGGUCUCUGGGCUGACACUGACGCUCAUGCACGAAAGCGUGGGGAGCAAA
rnacentral:rRNA from 1 species